rnacentral:rRNA from 1 species
ACCAGCGGAGGGAUCAUUACCGAGUUUACAACUCCCAAACCCAAUGUGAACCAUACCAAACUGUUGCCUCGGCGGGGUCACGCCCCGGGUGCGUCGCAGCCCCGGAACCAGGCGCCCGCCGGAGGGACCAACCAAACUCUUUACUGUAGUCCCCUCGCGGACGUUAUUUCUUACAGCUCUGAGCAAAAAAUUCAAAAUGAAUCAAAACUUUCAACAACGGAUCUCUUGGUUCUGGCAUCGAUGAAGAACGCAGCGAAAUGCGAUAAGUAAUGUGAAUUGCAGAAUUCAGUGAAUCAUCGAAUCUUUGAACGCACAUUGCGCCCGCCAGUAUUCUGGCGGGCAUGCCUGUCCGAGCGUCAUUUCAACCCUCGAACCCCUCCGGGGGGUCGGCGUUGGGGAUCGGGAACCCCUCAGACGGGAUCCCGGCCCCGAAAUACAGUGGCGGUCUCGCCGCAGCCUCUCCUGCGCAGUAGUUUGCACAACUCGCACCGGGAGCGCGGCGCGUCCACGUCCGUAAAACACCCAACUUUCUGAAAUGUUGACCUCGGAUCAGGUAGGAAUACCCGCUGAACUUAAGCAUAUCAAUAAGGCGGAGGA